UACGUAGGGUGCGAGCGUUAAUCGGAAUUACUGGGCGUAAAGCGUGCGCAGGCGGUUUUGUAAGUCAGGUGUGAAAGCCCUGGGCUUAACCUAGGAAUUGCGCUUGAGACUGGAUAGCUUGGAGUGCGGCAGAGGGAGGUGGAAUUCCACGUGUAGCAGUGAAAUGCGUAGAGAUGUGGAGGAACACCGAUGGCGAAGGCAGCCUCCUGGGCCAGCACUGACGCUCAUGCACGAAAGCGUGGGGAGCAAACAGG
rnacentral:rRNA from 1 species